GAAGCUCUCAAAGGCAGGGCUCAGUGCUUGUUUAGACCUGGUUUAGAUCUGGUUUAGACCUGGUUCAGCCUUGAUUUAGUCCUGAUUCGGUCCUGGUUCCGUCCUAGUUCAGUCCUGGUUCAGUCCUGGUUUAGCCCUGGUUCAGUCCUGGUUCAGUAGUGGUUCAGUCCUGGCUAUGGCCCUUGGAGCACUGGUUCUGUUCUGGUCCGUCUACACUUUGGGGCUGCUGGCAGAAGACAACAGCUCAGAGCUCAGGCUGGUGGGAGUGGCCAGUCGCUGUGCUGGGACUGUGGAGCUGAGAAACAGAGGAGAGUGGAGACGCAUCAGACCCUCUAAACGCUGGUACCUG
ensembl:lncRNA